GCUUCGUGCUUCAUUGCCUCCCCCCCCCCCCCCCCCCACUCCCAAUCCAUUUCUUUUUUCUGUAUGAUUUAUUUGCUAUUUUAAGUUAUUCAUUUGUUGUUUCUGUUGAUAUCUAUUUUGCAAGGAUUUCGAGGUGUCACUGGUUAGGGUUUUCUCUGCUUGCUGUGAGGUGCGCUAGGGGAGGCUUUAGUUUUCCCAAGGUCUUGAAGAUAUCAACAGUGACAAGAUCCCAGCUUCGAGUUCCUUUUGUUCCAUCGGACAUCGUGGUGUUCUGUGUAGUCCCCACUAACACUCCUGGUGGUGAUGCUAGUGGAUCUGGUGGUGAUGCUGGUGGAUCUGGUGAUGCUGGUGCUGUUGCGGCUUCCUGCUCUGUUUGAAGCGUAUGGUUCAAGCUCGGUUUUAAGACAUAUUGGGUCACAGUGCCUUCUUCCAAUCUUUGAAGAUAAGUUGGAAUUCAAUGUAGAAAAUAUUUUGUGGAACGCCACUUCCUAUAGGUAUUUUCGUCGUUUAUAGUUUCUUAAAAUUCAUAUUUUUUACAACGCAGAUUACUGAUUGUCUUCAUAGUUACUUCCCAUAGUAAUGUUUAUGUUCCUUCUUUGUUUUCUCUCAUGUCUCUUUUCUGAUAUGUGUGCAACAUGUAAUGUUAUGAUAGUGCCACAACCUGAGCAACUGAUUUUCCCUUGGCGACAACUUUCUCCACUAAUCAUUUCUGCUAGUUAUCUAUUUGUACAACUCUUGGGACCUGCAAAUGCAAUAUUCAGACUUCUUAGUUUUAUAAUUUUGUUUUUCAAAAUUAUUAUAUUGCAACCAUAACAAUGGUUUUUCUUGUUGAUAGCAACUUCAGCGUGCAAAUCUAAUUCCUUAAAUUAUAGUCAUUGCUAAUGCUUACCUUGUGUGUUUUUUUUGUUGUAUCAUGAGAAUGCACUUAGAGGGCAGGCCUGGCGCAGUGGUGAAGUCCUCCCCACUUGUGCCAAGAGGUCCUGGGUUCGAACCAGCCUCUCUGCAUUGCACUUUGCAGGGGUAAGACUAGGUUCCUAUAAUCCCUCCCCAGACCCCACCUUGUGUGGGAGCUUCUAUGCACUGGGUCUGUCCUUUAUGAGAAUGCACUUGCUGAUAUUCCCGUUGUGUAAUUUUUGGCACCUACGUAAGCAAUUUCAGAUUAUUAGUUAUUUUUGGGGUAAGUUAAACUAGAGUUUUGAAACUUCUGCCUCCGCAUCCAUUUUUAUUCAGUGUUCCUCACCUUGUUGACAGUAUGGUCUGCUCCACCAUGAAGUUGUUGUUGCUCAUAAUGAAGUUGUGCAACUUCUUUAGGUUGCAUAUGCAAUUAUCUUUUUAAUAUCUUGAUAUGACAUGAAAGCAUAGUACUGAUUGAUGCAAUGAUAGCAUAAUGGCUUCCAUGGCAUGCAAAGUACCUAUGUCUCUACAACUAUUUUUAUACCACUAUUGCUUACCUUGUAUAGAAUUCUUUUUGAUCAAGUGUAGUUGUUCCUUCUGAUUUUGAAUCUCUGUAUCCUGCAAAUGCAAUUUUGAUAUAAUUAGUGUCAUCAUGUGGAAGUUAAUCGUAAUGCUAAUGGUUGGCAGCCAUGACAACGAAAACACUGGCUAUUGCAAUUGUCUGCUGACGCAACAGUGGUGUUUGUCAGCAAGAUUUUAUACUCUGUUCAUCUCCUCGUUGAUAAUAUGUUUUGCUACUACAUGUUGGUGUUGUUGUUGAUACUUAUUUUGUGCAACUUCUUUAUCGUGCAUCAGCAAUUAAGAUAACCAGAUUCAUUAGCAGUAUGUUUUUCUGUAGUUAUAAUAGCUGGAUACUGUAAUAGGAAUAAUAGCUACGACAACAAAAUUUGUGUCUACACUUAUGUUUAUGAUUUUGAUUUUUAUCUUCAGGAAGGGUAAUAGGCUUCCCAAAAUUCAUUCAUCUAUAGAAAAACUUCAUUCUAUUCUUUCUUUUGCAUUUGGAAGGGUAAUAGGAUUCCCAAAAUUCAUUCAACUGUGGAAAAACUUCAUUCUAUUCUAUCUUUUGCAUUUGGAAGGGUAACAUGCUUCCCAAAAUUAAUUCCUCUAUAAAAAUAAUAAUUCUGUUAUGUCAUUUUCUUUUGCAUUUUAUCUUUAUCUAUUGAUUUUAGUUUAUGUUUAGUUUAUGCUUAGUUUCUUCAGACUAUGUAGUAGGUUCCGACUUUGAUGAAGUACUUGAAGUUUUUUAUGUUGUCUUUGAUGAGGAUUGCUUCAGGAGGAUGGUUAGUUGUAUUAAUCAUUUCUUUUGUAGUUUGACUUAUUUUGUAGAUAUCAAUCUAUGUGUAUGUGUUUACUUUGCCACUGCAUUUUUUCAUGGCUAAUAUGAAACCUGUGUACUUUAGGUGUUGUUCCCCAUCCUAUGUCUCGAUUGUCUUUGUAAUUAGUUAUAUAGAUGGAACUAUAAUUUUGUCUUUCCAUGAUCUAAAUCCAGUUGAUAUUGAUCAAUUCAUGCAAGUAUAGUUAUAAUCGCGAAUACAGUGAGGUACUCUGUAUUACAUAUAGCUUGAAUUCUUUUGUACAUAUCAAUGUAUCUGCUUCCAAUAAACCCUAAAUCAGCAUAUCAGCAACGCUAACAUGUGUCCUGCUGUUGUAAAAUGUGUGCAAGUUUAGUAUGAUGAACAUACAAUUUUUAAUUGUAGCCUUUGAAUUUAUGAUUUAGGCUUUUGCUGUAAUUAUAGUUGUACUCAUAGUCAUGCUCGUGCAUUUUAUUACUUGCAGCAAUGAGAAUGUAAUAAUUAGGUUUAGGUAAAUUUUUGCAAGUACAUCCUUUGUUUUCUAUAUUUCUUGGUUUUUUUUGCGUAGAUUUGUUCUAGUUAUGGUUAUCUCUCUGAAUAUGCAAAUUUAAUUCCAACAUAGACAACUUCUUUAGGGAGUGGUACUGCCUAAACUUUUACUUUGACAACUUCUUUAGCCCUAGAUGUGAUAGUUAUAUUUCUGUAAGUAUGUAUGCAUGCUCGUAUUUAUACUUCUUGCAUGUUGCUUUUGAAGAACAAGUGGAAGUUUAGUUAUCUGAAUAUGCAAAUUUAAAAUUCUGCCAUGAGGGUGUUGUUCUGAUUUUACUUGUAGUUAAAUAAUUUCUAGCACAAGCAGGUCAAGAUAAUGUAGUAUGCAUGCUCAUAGUAUAGUUCUUCUAUGUUGCUACUCAAUAACGACCGCAAGCUUAGUUUUUUGAAUAUGUAAAUUUAGUCUGUUCAUGGAUAUUUUAGAUUCUGGCUUCAAGGAGGUGUUCAGCCUUAACUGUAGUUUAACAAUUUUUCUAGUACUACCAGGUGAUUUUUAUACAUAUCUAUGCAUGCUCGCACUACACUUAUUUGUAUGUUGCUUUUAAUCAACAACUGCAAAUUUAGUUCUCUGAAUAUGCAAAUUCAGUAUAUGCAUGGAAAUUCUAGGUUCUGAUUUCAGGAUGGUGUUCUUCUUGGAAUUUUUAAAUUCUGCCUUUAGCGAGUGUUCUAUUUUUAAAUUCUGAAUAUGUCAGGUCGUCACAUAAAAUUCAGAAUUAUCUUCAAAGAUUUAGGGAGGUCGUUCCACAAAAUAUUGCAUGUUGCUUUUUGUACAUAUGUAUGCAUGCUAGCGCUAUACUUCUUUGUAUGUUGCUUUUGGUAAACAACAUCAAGUUUAGUUCUCUGAAUAUGCAAAUUCAAUUCCUUCUUGGAAUUUUUAAAUUAUGCCUUUAGGGAGGUGUUCUUUUUUAAAAUUCUGAAUAUGUCAGGUCGUCACAUAAGAUGCAGCAGCAAAAUCAAAACACAGAAGGCAGAAGAGGGCAGGAGAAUUUUCAAGAUAUCAAAAUCAAAAUCAAAACACCAAAUUGUCAGGUCGUCACAUAUUGUCAGGCCCUUUUUUUGGGCUGGACAGAAGGCAGAAGAGGCAAGAGAAUUUUUUCAGCCAGUUUGGCUGUUGGGCUGGUCGACUGACACUAACUUUGUGUCAGUCAGUUUUCUUCUGUCCUCUUUUCUUUUCCUUUGUUGUACUAAUCGACUGACCACAUUCUACAAUCAGUCGAUUGACCUGUAGCCGCUCCCGUACGUGCUUCCAUCAGCUAGCGUACCGGGGCCAAGCUGUGCAUGCAUGUGAUGUGAUCAGCAUUGUACCAUAUGUUCAAUAAUAAG